rnacentral:lncRNA from 1 species
UGGGGUGGGUCCUUUGUUUGUUUUUAUCCCAGAUCUUUCAAAGCAUGAUCUAUUUUGAGUCAGUGAUUUAAUUUUAGAUCAGAAUUGAGGUUGGGUUGUUUGCGGGAGACUGACAAGCUGCUGGCUCUGUGUAUCCUCAAUGGCUGGGAAUGGGGAAUUUGGUAUUUGUCUGGUCUAUGAGUCUGAAUUCAAUCAUGGCCUGGCGAGUUUUGUAAUAAGACUUGGUUGUCCAUGAAGGGCUUAACCAGAAGGAAAAUCUCUGCUGUGAACCUCAUCUUCAAAUCGCCCUCCUCCUUAGGUUUAGAAUACUACUCUCAGUUUCUAGUUGGAAAACUCACCGUCUAUGCUUGCCAUUAAUGAAAGAUGAAUGCAUUUGCUGUGUGAUCACCCCCUCAUAGCACAUCAUAACUCUAGCUUUAAAGCCUUGGGUUCGAUACCUCUAGACUAAAUGGUUGAGAAAACAAAUAAAAUUACCUACUCGCCCUUUUCAGUAACAAAAAGAUGACACUUGCAGCUUAGAUAUUUUAUAUUUUAGUCACUCAGCUAUCAGUUUACCCUCUGUCCCGACUAUUGGAUUUUAAGUGGAAAUCUUUUUCCUUAAGUGUUUAGCUACAGACAGGCUUUGUAUGAGGUGAGCUGCUGUAGGUAUAGCCCAUCAACAGUAGGUGGUGCUGUGGGGAACUCUGGCAGCUCAGCCAGGGCAUAGGUAUGCUUAAGGAACAUCCAGCAUUAAUCUGCACUAGUGCUGGCCAGGUGUGAAAACAACCGGAGGGACAGACAGCAGCCUGCACAAGUGUUAAGAAUGACAUGGUUUCUUAAGUUUUCUCUUUGCAUUUUUAACGUUUGGCAAGCAUUUACCUGGAGAAUCUUUUUUUUAGAGUCCAAUAAUGUUCUAGAUGCUAAGUGUAUAAUGCUUAUAAAAAUUAUUAGCUGCACUUCUCACUUUUAUUGUUCUUCAUUAGAGUUAGGUGGACUUUGGACUAACCUAGGCUAAGCCAAGAGCCUCUGCAGCUAACGUGGACUUUUUCUUUUUCUAGCAUGGACUUGCAGUUCAGAGCAACAAAGGGCGUGGGACCUACUCCCCUCUUGAAUUUAUUUGGGAAGGCCCUGCUCCCCUCUGCUUUUUUUGGUCACCUCUUAUCAUUUUUCUGGCUCCUGGCAGGUUACAAUGAGAAUUGAUAUUCAAGGUGAAGAUGCUGAAUUUAUUCUAUGCUGGCUGCGUACCCCGGCUAGGAAGUAAAUUAGUCCACUCAGUUAAAGGUUUUCUGGCUCCCAGUCGCUUACCUGUGAAGGCCAGUCCUGUGAGCAGCAUAUCUCUAGGCUUCCUCUUACUCCUCUAACAAACAAUAGUUUUGUUAUCUGCUUUCUGUGGGUGAAUUUAGUGACUUGACUGAGGCAUAGCUAAUAAAUAGCAAGAUGUAAGUACCAGAGGCUGGCUUUUCUACUGCCCAGAGAGGAAAAGCUUUGCAGCCUCGUAGCUGCUGGAGCUGACUGAUCGCUUCUUCAGGGGUUUGGUAUCAGAAAAAUCUCAUCACUCAGUGAUCGGAUUUGGAUUUUCUGGGUAGUGCUUGAUCAUCAGUCCAAAAGUAGGAGAAAUCGAGUUUUUUUUUCCUUUUCCUGAAUAGUCUUUUAAUGUGUGGCAAAGAUUACUUGUUUCGAGUGUUGAGAAGGAUGGCAGCUGAAUGUCUUUGAAUUAGAUAAAAGGCUGAUAGAGACGGUUUAGACCUUGAGGCUGUGAAUCAUGUUGGGUCUGUUUGGGGUUUUUGCUCCUGACAGCCCAGCUCUACACUUGGCCUUGUGACAUACUCUCUGUCCACCGAUGAGCUUGCUUACUGUGAUCCCUUUCAUGUGGGAGGCAGGACUGUGAGCGCGCAUGUGUGUGUGUGUGUGUGUGUGUGUUUUGUUCCACAGUUGAGGCAGAGCCUCAACUUAAUCUUUCAAAAACAAAGAUGGGCUGUGUUUCUCAGUUGACUCCCCUACAAAUACGAGUAGGAAGGCAAACAAGUAGGGCUUGAGAAACCCUGAAAAGAGCCGGUGACUCAGGCACACUGCUGUCCCCAAAACCUGAUGGAACUGUGAUUCUGGGCAAUGAGAAUUCUCAAACCUGUUGAUGACCAUGAAAGUACUGCGUGAUGGCUGCGGAGUGUCUCUUCUCCUUGUCCACAGCAGUGAUGGCAGCAAUAAGAUGAGAAUCAACCUUUCUACUCCACAGUCCUUUCUUAUCUUAUUUGUAGACAGCUUGGGUGGGUUUCUUAAUGAUUAUUUUGCAAAGUGAUAUUAAUAAACAUGCACCACGCAUUCCUUAUUUUGACACCUUUGGUUUCUCCAUGUGUAUGAUGGGGGACUGGGUAGAAUUUUAAUCUUUUUCAUGUGAUAAAGUUGUCACAAUAGGAGAGACUACAUAAGGACCUGGUGUUUAUGAACCUUAACCGCCCCUCCCUUCCCUCUGCCCCUAGAGUGCUCUCAAGAACAUGUGCGCAUGUGUGUGUGUGCGCGCACGCGCGCUCGUGAGAGCACAAACACACACACACACACACACACACACACACUUACUCGCACACUUUUAAAGCUUAGUAGCCAAACAAAUUGCUUUUUUUCUAGCGUUAACAGUAAAAAAGAAAGUGUGUGUGUGUGUGUGUGUGUGUACAUGAGUGCGUGCAUUGGACUUUUUUUUUUUUUUCCUGCACUGACUUUAAAAUUGCAAAUGAUUUGGAUGCACAUCCAAAGGAGAGCCCCCUAGUUCUAGAGGAACUGCCAUUUAGCAGACAGGUUCCUGGAAGAAUUGUAAGAAUCCCAGGGUGUGGUUUGUGCUCCAGGCCAAGGUCAAUGUGGUUUCAAUUGUCCAGCUCCUGAGAAGACCUUUACAAACACAAUCUUAAGCACAUGGGAUUUUGGGUCUUUGUGUUGUAAUGAAAAGCAGGGUUUUUUUCCUUCCUACUGACAUUAGAAAUUAUUUUCACCUUUUAAGAUGUCUUCUUAAGGAAGAAUCAUGGAUAAUACUUCAAAAUGACCAUUACUACCAGCAGUGCUUUGGUCCCCCAAACUGGAACUUUGUUAGAAAAAAAAAGGAGUAAUUACACAAAAGGAUAUAGUUAAUAAUUUGUCCUAUUAAGGUUAAUAUAUUAAAAAUUAUUAGCAGAGGAUUCAUUAUGUGCCAG